GACGAACGCUGGCGGCGUGCUUAACACAUGCCAGUCGAACGGUGAAGCGAGUGCUUGCACUCGUGGAUCAGUGGCGAACGGGUGAGUAACACGUGAGUAACCUGCCCAUCACUCUGGGAUAAGCACUGGAAACGGUGUCUAAUACUGGAUACGACCAACCCUUGCAUGGGGUGUUGGUGGAAAGAUUUAUCGGUGAUGGAUGGACUCGCGGCCUAUCAGCUUGUUGGCGGGGUAAUGGCCCACCAAGGCGACGACGGGUAGCCGGCCUGAGAGGGUGACCGGCCACACUGGGACUGAGACACGGCCCAGACUCCUACGGGAGGCAGCAGUGGGGAAUAUUGCACAAUGGGCGAAAGCCUGAUGCAGCGACGCCGCGUGAGGGAUGACGGCCUUCGGGUUGUAAACCUCUUUCAGCAGGGAAGAAGCGAAAGUAACGGUACCUGCAGAAGAAGCACCGGCUAACUACGUG
rnacentral:rRNA from 1 species